CAUCAGCUCAGAUAAGACAACAUUUGGAGGGGGGUGGCCUGGGGGCAGUUAAGGGGUUUCUCCUGCAAACAAACGGAGGUGAUAACCAAGUGGACACGGCUUUUUGCUUCAAACCAGGAGACUCUCUAGUUUUUUGUUCGGAUUGUGACUCAUUGCUUCCAAACAGGACAGACAAGAGCGUCUUGUUUAGCUGGACGCUGCUUUGAGUGAAGGAUGGUGCUGGACAAGGAGGAGAGCGUGUCCCUGGUGUCCCUCCAGUCCAGAGAGAAGGUGCAAGGCUGCGCCGGCUGCAACGGGAGGAUCAGGGACCGCUUCAUGCUGCAGGCCUUGGACCGCUUUUGGCACGAGGACUGUCUCAAGUGUGCCUGCUGCGACUGCCGCCUGGGCCGGGUGGGCUCCAGCCUGUACACCCGUGCUAACCUUAUCCUCUGCCGCCGAGACUACCUCAGGCUCUUUGGAGUGACAGGGAACUGUGCAGCCUGCAGGAAGCUGAUUCCCGCCUUUGAAAUGGUAAUGAGGGCGCGAGACAACGUCUACCACUUAGACUGCUUCGCCUGUCAGCUGUGUCGCCAGAGAUUUUGUGUGGGAGACCGAUUCUUCCUGAAGAACAACAUGAUCCUGUGCCAGCUGGACUACGAAGGCGGCCAUCUUAACGGCAGCACGCACUGAGAGGUAACGUCAAUCACAAGCCUAGGCAGACGUCUGUCUAUCUGUCCAUCUAUAAAGUAUAAAGGUGAAGAGGUGGACAGGAAGGAUAACCACUUGGACUUUGUCUCUUUGCGAGUUUGCAGCAGCUUCUUAUUGAGCUUUCUUUGUGGAGCUGAAAGCUGCCAUUUGUGAACCGAUGGAACAGAAACACCAGGAAGUUCCGGGAAACGUCCAAGCACUUCACGGAUGGAUCUUGGACUGACGUUGAUAAAUCGUUUAAAAAAUUUUUCUCUAACUAUAUUUCAUUGUUGACUCCGCCCAUCUGUUAGGGAAGGGGUGACGAAACAAAAUGAGGUUGAGGACAAUCUACUCUUUCUUCUUCAUCGGCGCCAAAGAAAAGCUCUCGUUGUUUUUGCCCUCGAGGGAUAACGUGAAAGAAACUGUUAUUGGCUUUACUUUCUAAAGACUGAAACUUUGUACAGGUGGCCCCCUGUUUACCGCGUGUCUUGGGACCGCAUUGCCAUCGGAGACGUAGUCAAUGAUGACACAAAUUAAAAGGUUUUCAAACGGUAUUAAAAAAAUAAGAGUAAUAUAUUUGGUUACAGCGCUGGACUCCUCAUCAAUCAUCAAUGAGGAAGCUCGAGCAAGAACCCAGAUUGAAAGUACACAGAGUCUCUAUGCAGCAGCUGCUGCGCCUGUCUGGAAAGUGAACAUUCGUGUAGAAGUGAGAGUUAAGCUUGUGUGAGUGAGAACAAUGUACCUGUUGUGCGUCUCUGAUAGGGGUGUAACGAUUCAUUCACUACAUUGAUGUAUCAAUUUAUGUUCCUAUGAUCCAAUUACAUCGAUCUGUGUUCAGCAAGUUGCCAUUCCGGAUGACAGAUAUCGAUCUGACAUCGUUUAAAAGGUAAUCAAUCCAUUGCAUCGAUACUAGGAAAUAAAGCAUUGGA